GACGAACGCUGGCGGCGUGCCUAAUACAUGCAAGUCGAGCGCAGGAAACUGACGGAACUCUUCGGAGGGAAGGCAGUGGAAUGAGCGGCGGACGGGUGAGUAACACGUAAGGAACCUGCCUCAAGGAUUGGGAUAACUCCGAGAAACCGGAGCUAAUACCGGAUAGUUCAACGGACCGCAUGGUCCGCUGAUGAAAGGCGCUUCGGCGUCACCUUGAGAUGUCCUUGCGGUGCAUUAGCUAGUUGGUGGGGUAACGGCCCACCAAGGCGACGAUGCAUAGCCGACCUGAGAGGGUGAUCGGCCACACUGGGACAGAGACACGGCCCAGAAUCCUACGGGAGGCAGCAGUAGGGAACCUUCCACAAUGGACGAAAGUCUGAUGGAGCAACGCCGCGUGAGUGAUGAAGGUUUUCGGAUCGUAAAACUCUGUUGUAAGGGAAGAACACGUACGAGAGGAAAUGCUCGUACCUUGACGGUACCUUACGAGAAAGCCACGGCUAACUACGUGCCAGCAGCAGCCGCGGUAA
rnacentral:rRNA from 1 species